rnacentral:rRNA from 1 species
GCGUAACGCGUGGGAAUCUGCCCAAAGGUUCGGAAUAACUCAGGGAAACUUGAGCUAAUACCGAAUAAUGUCUUCGGACCAAAGAUUUAUUGCCUUUGGAUGAGCCCGCGUCGGAUUAGCUUGUUGGUGAGGUAAAAGUUCACCAAGGCGACGAUCCGUAGCUGGUCUGAGAGGAUGAUCAGCCACACUGGGACUGAGACACGGCCCAGACUCCUACGGGAGGCAGCAGUGGGGAAUAUUGGACAAUGGGCGAAAGCCUGAUCCAGCAAUGCCGCGUGAGUGAUGAAGGCCUUAGGGUUGUAA